UGAAUAUUGCACAAUGGGCGCAAGCCUGAUGCAGCCAUGCCGCGUGUAUGAAGAAGGCCUUCGGGUUGUAAAGUACUUUCAGCGGGGAGGAAGGGAGUAAAGUUAAUACCUUUGCUCAUUGACGUUACCCGCAGAAGAAGCACCGGCUAACUCCGUGCCAGCAGCCGCGGUAAUACGGAGGGUGCAAGCGUUAAUCGGAAUUACUGGGCGUAAAGCGCACGCAGGCGGUUUGUUAAGUCAGAUGUGAAAUCCCCGGGCUCAACCUGGGAACUGCAUCUGAUACUGGCAAGCUUGAGUCUCGUAGAGGGGGGUAGAAUUCCAGGUGUAGCGGUGAAAUGCGUAGAGAUCUGGAGGAAUACCGGUGGCGAAGGCGGCCCCCUGGACGAAGACUGACGCUCAGGUGCGAAAGCGUGGGGAGCAAACAGG
rnacentral:rRNA from 1 species